AGAACGAACGCUGGCGGCAGGCUUAACACAUGCAAGUCGAGCGCGGACUUCGGUCCGAGCGGCGGACGGGUGAGUAACGCGUGGGAACGUGCCCUUUUCUUCGGAAUAGCCCAGGGAAACUUGGAUUAAUGCCGGAUACGCCCCUUGGGUAACCUUGGGGGAAAGAUUUAUCGGGGAAGGAUCGGCCCGCGUCGGAUUAGGUAGUUGGUGGGGUAACGGCCUACCAAGCCGACGAUCCGUAGCUGGUUUGAGAGGAUGAUCAGCCACACUGGGACUGAGACACGGCCCAGACUCCUACGGGAGGCAGCAGUGGGGAAUCUUGGACAAUGGGGGCAACCCUGAUCCAGCCAUGCCGCGUGAACGAUGAAGGCCUUAGGGUUGUAAAGUUCUUUCAGCGGGGAAGAUAAUGACGUACCCGCAGAAGAAGCCCCGGCUAACUCCGUGCCAGCAGCCGC
rnacentral:rRNA from 1 species